rnacentral:misc_RNA from 1 species
CAACACUCAAGCUCAGCUUGGUCUUGAGCCCCGCGGGUCUCCCGCAGGCUUUAAAAUCAGUGGCGGCGCCAUCUGGCUCUAAGCGUAGUAGUAUAAACCCCUCGCUAUUGAGUCCCGGUGGAUGCUGGCCAGCAACCCCCAACUUUCUAA